UCAUGUGCUCACUUUUAAAAAUUUUGUUUUUCUCUCCUACUGUUUUUCAGUGUAUUUACGUAGAACACACACACCUGCCAUUAUUCAUUAGAUCUUUAAGGAGGACCAGUUCCCCUCAAGGAUAAAGUAGAUUUUGUUUGGAAAGACUGUCCCCCUUUGUGGAAAGAAUUUUCCUCUGGUCACCUGAUUGUAACAAGGGAGACAACAAGCAUUUCCCAAAGGACCAGCCCUUAGUGGCCACUAUGUCCUCAAGCCCUAGGAAUCCUCACUGUUGGGACCAACAGAGGCACAUCUAGCUGAUUGUUUCCCCAGGUUGCACCUAUAUACGUACCAUACUUGGCUGUCAGGAAGAGAGAGGUGCAAGAGUGGGUAGGGGUUCUGAGUUCCACCCAGGGACACCAUCCUUGUCCUCUGUCUGCAGAGCCUGGAGUACUCCUGAGGAUCCAACCUGUCCUUCGUCUACAGAGUCUGGGGUCCUCCUGAGGAUCCAUCAAGUCUCCUUCUGUCCACAGAGUCUAGUGUCCCUCCUGGGGAUCCAUCCAGUCCUCCUCUUUAGUGUCCCUCCUGAGGAUCCAACCAGUUCUCCUUGAUCCAGGACAGGAGACACUGAGGGAUUAUGAUAUCACAAUGUAAUGAUUUUUUUAAAUCAAAUUUUCCUUAGUGCCUAGUACUAUGAUAACUAAACAGAAACAAACUUCCAUAAACCAUAGAAUCAAGUAGAAACCAGAUUAAGGUAAAUCCUUCCAAGUCAAAGGGAGAAUGAGGUAACUGGACUUAUUUCUAUAUAUUCAUACAGUUUGAGAAGAUACAUGC